CUGGCCCAGGCCGGAGGAGCUUUCGGUGGCGUGAGCCCGCUGGCAUGCUCCCGGCCUCGGCCUUGGCCUCCGGGCCUCCAGCGCACGCGGGGCGUCCAGGGGCCUCAUCUUCCCCUGGGGACCGCCCGGCAGAGUCCCGCUGCCCCCGGCGCAGGGGUGGGAGUUGCAGAGAGGAAGAGUCGCUAACCCGGAUUGUUUCUUAAAACUUGGCUGACCUGUGACCUGCGGGAUUUGGAGGCUGAAUUCUCCGAGCACCUGUGAGGUGUGCACUUGGUUCUUGCAGGACAGCUUUUGUACCUAACCACAUUCAUUUUGAUUUAGUUUAAUUUUGGAUGGCACUAUGGAAAGUAGCUAAAAUAAACAGGAAGCUACUGCAGGAUAUGAUCUAAGAAAA
rnacentral:antisense_RNA from 1 species